rnacentral:rRNA from 1 species
UUAAGCAUAUCACUAAGCGGAGGAAAAGAAACUAACUAGGAUUCCCCCAGUAACUGCGAGUGAAGAGGGAAGAGCUCAUCAUUGGAAUCUGGCAGCGUUGCGCUGUCCGAGUUGUAGAUGAGAAGAGUAGGACAUCUGGACUGCAUGGUGUCCAAGUACAAUAGGCCGUCAGUGGGACAUCAUAGAGGGUGACAAUCCCGUCCUUGACACCAAUGUACGAGUCCUUUACGAUGCCUAUCUCGGAGAGUCGAGCAGUUUGGGAUUUGCUGCUUAAACACGGGAGGUAGAUUCCUUCCAAAGCUAAAUACAGGCAAGAGACCGAUAGUGAACAAGUACCGCAAGGGAAAGAUGAAAUAGAACUCUGUGAAGGGAGUCAAAAAGACGUGAAAUUGUUGCGAGAGAAGCGAUUCAAGUCAGCGUAGCUGGGCCCAUCAAGCCUCGCGCUUUGGACCAGCUUUGCCAGCGGUCUUGUCCCCAGAGACUUGACUAAGGUGCCCUGCCCGGUCUAACGGACAGACCUCCCCGCUGGGGAGGCCAGUGGCAUGGCUGGUGGAAUGGCUUGCAAUCGACCCGUCUUGAAACACGGACCAAGGAGUCUAACAUGUACGCGAGUAUAAGGGUGGCAAACCCGUAUGCGCAAAGAAAGUGAUAGCCUAUGGCUGAGAAUGACCUGACGACCAGACAAGAAACAUCAUGUCCCUCGUACGGUCAUUGCCCAAGUCCCAUGGUCAGAUCCCAUGGACAUGGAGUUGGAGCGUGCAUGCUAGGACCCGAAAGAUGGUGAACUAUGCCUGGACAAAGCGAAGCCAAAGGAAACUCUGGUGGAGGCUUGUAGCGAUUCUGACGUGCAAAUCGAUCGUCUGAUCUG